GCAACUUAGUUGUCCGACUGCAACUGAAUGCACCAAUGACGUUAGUUUGAUUUUUCAUUGUAUUAGGUUUGGAUUUGAAGAAGCUUUUGAAGACGUUUCCUGAUGCCGGAGGAGAAGACGAGCAGCUUUGGACCUUUGCGGGUAAGAAGACGAUGGCCGUUUCUCAGCACGUAACUGUCCGGACUUGCGUUCUGACGUACUCGUGAAACGUCAUCAUGGAGACUGCAUAGGACCAGACUAAUGAGCAUAGAUAUGAAUGAGUAGAUAGGCCACGCCCAUAUAUAUAUGAAUGAUUAGAUAGGCCACGCCCCCUUCAGCUGCGUGCUACAGCGAGGCUAAGCUAGCGGGGACAGAGUUUCAUGCAUUCCAUUGAUGUAGACGGCGUAAAAACGGAAACAAGAAGUAUGCCGUCUCACUGUGCUGCAUACAGUUACACACUACGUCGUACGAUUGAGACAAGGAAACUUGGAAUGACUUUUCAUAGAGUGAAAGUAGCAGUUCCUCCUGAAGGUCAGAGAUUGCAGCAUCUGAGGGCCUCUUCAAAAGAAGACGUAGUUGAUGAAGGUGUUCUGGAGCAGGACCAGAAAGACCACGACCAAGCAGCCUUGAGAUCUUAGGCAGCGUCUCCCUGAGGUCCCUCUCUAUCUCCCCACACAUCCACCAACCACUGGAACACAUCUCCAAAGUUCUGCUGGACCAGCUCAGCUUCCCCUCAGAAGAAGUGCUGCCACCUGCCAGAUGAAGGAGCCUUUUGAGAGGCAGCUGGCAUCGUGAUUGGACUGUACUUUGGUCUGUUCCAAUCCAGCUUCAGCUCCAGAGACGGCAGGCGGGACGAGUCAACGGAGGCCUGGUGAACGAAGGCAUGCAGCUGAGUACGAUCCAGAAAACAACAGAGGAGGAGUGCAGCAGCCCAGAGCCAGAACAACUAGAGUAGCAUCGUAUGUCUCUUAGAAAACAUCAUAGUAGAGCCUUUGGUAUGAAAAAACACCAUCAUAUACAUCGUAUAUUGUACAAAUAACAAGUCUAAGGAAAGAGACAUACAUUGUAGAAUUGUAGUAAUUGUGGGCCGACUGAUUUACUGAUUAGCAGUAUUUUAUUUUUUACUGAUUUACGGUAAUAAAUAAAUUUAAAAAUGGC